GAGAGAAGCCACUUCAAUCGCCACGCACCGUACUCCUUCCCCAAGCGCCGCCGUCCAACACCGAUCACCGACGAUCCAUUGCCGGUGCCGGAAGACAACUCAUCGACCAACAAGCAACAGCCGGCUACUGUGGUGGUUAUUGGUGUUCCUUCUGAAUGCUCUGUGCUCGACAUUAAAUCUCGUUUUGAGAUUUACGGAUCCAUCUCUCGAACUCGUAUGGACCCUAAUGGUCUUGCUCAUAUCACUUACCGUUCUAAUGAUUUUGCUCAAUCUGCUGUUGAAGCUGCCGAAGAUUCAUCUUUUCCCAUUACUCUCCACUCCAAGCCUGUUCAGGUAAUAUGGGCAACUGACCAUGCAUCGCAGUGGAAAGAAGGUGUGAUGAGAAAGGAUGAACUAUCCACAUCAACAGUUGCAUCAAAGCUAGUUAAAGCAGAAGUGCCACUAAGUAGGCACGGAAGAAGUAAUCGACUGGGAUCAGCAAUUGUGAACCCCAGAGAUGAGGAUAAUGAUAAUGCUGGCGGUAAUGUUCGUGCACAUGUUAGUACAAGGCUGGUUGAGCCUUACAAGGGUAGGGAAAUCGUUGCCUAUGAUGAUAUUUUGUAACUUAUGGUCGUUGUUUGAGGGAUUGCCUCACUUGUAACAUUAGC
rnacentral:misc_RNA from 1 species